GACGAACGCUGGCGGCGUGCUUAACACAUGCAAGUCGAACGGCAAGGCCCUGCUUUUGUGGGGUGCUCGAGUGGCGAACGGGUGAGUAACACGUGAGUAACCUGCCCUUGACUUUGGGAUAACUUCAGGAAACUGGGGCUACUACCGGAUAGGAUCUCCUGCUGCAUGGUGGGGGUUGGAAAGUUUCGGCGGUUGGGGAUGGACUCGCGGCUUAUCAGCUUGUUGGUGGGGUAGUGGCUUACCAAGGCUUUGACGGGUAGCCGGCCUGAGAGGGUGACCGGCCACAUGGGGACUGAGAUACGGCCCAGACUCCUACGGGAGGCAGCAGUGGGGAAUAUUGCACAAUGGGCGGAAGCCUGAUGCAGCAACGCCGCGUGCGUGAUGACGGCCUGCGGGUUGUAAACCGCUUUCGCCUGUGACGAAGCGUGAGUGACGGUAAUGGGUAAAGAAGCACCGGCUAACUACGUG
rnacentral:rRNA from 1 species